AUUGAACGCUGGCGGCAGGCCUAACACAUGCAAGUCGAGCGGAGCGGCCGACGGGAGAGUAAUGACUAGGAAUCAGCCUGGUAGAGGGGGAUAACGACCGGAAACGGGCGCUAAUACCGCAUACAAUCAGAUGAGCCUAGGCCGGAUUAGAUAGUUGGUGGGGUAAAGGCCUACGUAGGCGACGAUCCGUAGCUGGUCUGAGAGGAUGAUCAGUCACACUGGAACGGAGACACGGUCCAGCCUCCUACGGGAGGCAGCAGUGGGGAAUAUUGGACAAUGGGCGACAGCCUGAUCCAGCCAUGCCGCGUGUGUGAAGAAGGUCUUCGGAUUGUAAAGCACUUUAAGUUAGGAGGCGUUGCCAGCAGAAUAAGCACCGGCUAACUUCGUGCCAGCAGCCGCGGUAAUUC
rnacentral:rRNA from 1 species